GAUGAACGCUGGCGGCGUGCCUAAUACAUGCAAGUCGAGCGAACAGACGAGGAGCUUGCUCCUCUGACGUUAGCGGCGGACGGGUGAGUAACACGUGGAUAACCUACCUAUAAGACUGGGAUAACUUCGGGAAACCGGAGCUAAUACCGGAUAAUAUAUUGAACCGCAUGGUUCAAUAGUGAAAGACGGUUUUGCUGUCACUUAUAGAUGGAUCCGCGCCGCAUUAGCUAGUUGGUAAGGUAACGGCUUACCAAGGCGACGAUGCGUAGCCGACCUGAGAGGGUGAUCGGCCACACUGGAACUGAGACACGGUCCAGACUCCUACGGGAGGCAGCAGUAGGGAAUCUUCCGCAAUGGGCGAAAGCCUGACGGAGCAACGCCGCGUGAGUGAUGAAGGUCUUCGGAUCGUAAAACUCUGUUAUUGGGGAAGAACAAAUGUGUAAGUAACUAUGCACGUUUUGACGGUACCUAAUCAGAAAGCCACGGCUAACUACGUG
rnacentral:rRNA from 1 species